AGAGUUGAUCAUGGCUCAGGAUUAACGCUGGCGGCGUGCCUAAUACAUGCAAGUCGAAUGGUAGCAAUACCAUGGCGAACGGGUGAGUAACACGUAGGUAACCUGUCUUUAAGACGAGGAUAACCGAUGGAAACGUCGGAUAAUACUCGAUAGGUGAUUUAAGGGCAUCCUUGAAUCAUUAAAGAUUUAUCACUUAGAGAGGGGCCUGCGGCGCAUUAGCUAGAUGGCGGUGUAAUAGACCACCAUGGCGAUGAUGCGUAGCCGGACUGAGAGGUUGAACGGCCACAAUGGAACUGAGAACGGUCCAUACUCCUACGGGAGGCAGCAGUAGGGAAUUUUCGGCAAUGGGCGAAAGCCUGAACCCGAGCAACGCCGCGUGAACGAAGAAGUAUUUCGGUAUGUAAAGUUCUUUUAUUAGGGAAGAAAAAUAUCCAAAUUGACGGUACCUAAUGAAUAAGCUCCGGCUAACUACGUGCCAGCAGCUGC
rnacentral:rRNA from 1 species